UUAACUUUGAUAAGUGAUUGCCGCGUUUAUGUGACGGAAAAUUACGAAGGUGAUCAAGAACCGAAAACUUUAAUCUUCAGACUUCAGACAGAGUGUAUGUCUGUGUUCAUUCCAAUGCUGCGGAAAAUAUAUUUUUAUAAGUACUCGUUUUACUUAAUACGAAUAGUAUUAUGAAAAAUAGAUAACUAUUUUUGCUUUUAACCAUUUCGAUAAUACUAAGAUAUAAGUGAGCGACAUCAUCUCGAAUAUUUAGAAUCUAAAGUGUCAUUUUUUACUAAAAUAACUUUAAGCUUAGAGAGGAGAAAUAAUUAUACACUUAAAAUUUAUUUUAUGUUAAAGAGCUAGAAACAUUUUUUGUCAAUCAUGACGUUAGACAAUAAAUAUUUUAAUUUUAUAAAAUGUAUUGGGAUUGAAAGUUAUGUGCCAUAAUUUUAUUGAAUCGAGCUUUGUAAAUAAAGAAUAGACAAAGAAGUAAAUGAACAAGAAUGUCUUAUGUCAUGUUAUGAAUUUUUGGGUCUUAUAUUGUAUAAGUUUCAGAGAAGUUUGGAUUGAUGAAUCGCUAUUUUCACAAAUGUUAUGUAAUAUCUUCCGAAAUAUGCAUUUUAUAAUCAUAACAUGAAUGUAUAUAAUGAUCACUACUGAGUUCUUGAUCUGGUUUAGGUACUAUUUACACUAUAUAUUAUUACUACAGAGUCCCCCGACGUAGACCAUGCUCUUCAUACGGCCUACUCUGACAUACUGUUAAAUAUUAUAUGUAUAAUCAGACGCAAUGGUUGUUAGACAUAGACAAUUUUACUUUAUAACAAGUAUUAUUGUAUGGUAAUCAAUUUCAUUAAUUUUAUUUUGCGUUUCGUAGAUUCAGAAAAUGUACAUAUGUUUCCACUGGACUGACCAACAGAUGCGAAAGUCAUCACACAGGUCGGACAAAUACAGGGUUGUGUUUUAGUUUCGGAUGAACGGGGACACACUCGAGCCGACGAAUUUAUAUUAAGUAUUAAUAAUAGGUUUAAAACGUGUUGUGGUUAUUUUACAAGUUGUACCGAAAUGUUAAAUGUAAUUAUACAAGUAUAAAAUUUAUUGUUUUUUUUUUCCAGAUUUUUUUUUUUGAAAUAUACAAUUAUAAACUGUU